ensembl:lncRNA
UGAAAUAGUCCCAUGUUCCCACUGCUUCCUGUUUUGUUUCCCGACUGCUAUAACUCCACCUGGACUCUCUUCACCCCACUGGAUUCCUGCCGGUCCCAUCUCUGUGAACCUGCCUCGUCUCCCACCAGCUCCCGGAUUUGCUGAGCCUUUCUGCCACGUAGCUUCAACUUGUCUUGUAUUAUAUCUUGCCACUGGGGACUCUUUCAGAAUGAUAGCCUUCAGUUAUCGUGUGGUGUUCUGCGCAGUGGGUCGGAUCGUGAAGGAUGUGGCAGCGGCUAUCUGGGACACAAUGGUCAAUGAGGGUAGUAAUAUCACAAUGGACAAGUUCUUCACUAUUUUCCCCCUGGCUUAGAGGCUCCUUGAGAAGAACCUGACCAUUGAUGGGACUCUUCACCAGAACAAGUCGGACACACCAACUGUUAGUUUCAUACAUGGAAUAAGUUUGGAUCUUUGCACAGGUCUUUGCUCACACAACGUGAGUCCAUGGGGGCUCAUAAAGUAAACAGAUGUCUUUCUCUAAUCCCUUAGGUACAUGGAGAUAAUUGUUUGUGAAAUAUGGAAAACUGUGAAAAAAAGUAUUAGUUGAUAUGUAAGGAAUUGGGAAAGGACUUUCAAAUUGCUAUUUUGCCUUGUUGGACUUUUGGUUUAAGACCAACAGUUAAAACAUAAAGUGCAUCUAGAUUAUGAUUCUUUCCAGUUCCAAAACUUAGUUUGCUUCUUAAUAAACCACGUUUUGUAAUUCCCUGAUGACACUUACUUGGAACUUUCAGCUCAGAGAAAGGAAAACUCUGUGAAUAUAUGACCUCACAACAUUAAACUGGUUUCUCGAUUCGCA